GGAAGUAAAAGUCGUAACAAGGUUUCCGUAGGUGAACCUGCGGAAGGAUCAUUCACAAUAAGUGUUCAAUGGCACUUUUAAAAAUCCAUUACCCACCUUGUGUGCAAUGUAAGGGAGGAGAGAGGGUGUCACAGCCCUNNNCUCUCCUUUCCAUUAUACAUACCAAUCUUCUCUUGUUGUCUACUUUUUGAGUAUAAAAAACUCGAAUACAACUUUCAACAACGGAUCUCUUGGCUCUCGCAUCGAUGAAGAACGCAGCGAAAUGCGAUACGUAAUGUGAAUUGCAGAAUUCAGUGAAUCAUCGAAUCUUUGAACGCAUAUUGCGCCUUCUGGUAUUCCGGAAGGCAUGCUUGUUUGAGUAUCAGUAACAACCUCAACUCCCCUUCUUCAUUGCGAAGAAAAGGAGUUGGAUUUGAGCAUUUCCACAAGUUUCCACAACUUGGAGGAUUGCUUGAAAUAUGAGGUUCGGCCGGCAGUUGCCUGGGCUACAAGCAUUUCAUACUUAAUCCCGUCAAACGGAUUAUAUCCUUUGCUGCAGCCAACAUACAGGGUAACUUUGCCAGUGUUCCGACUGAUGCAGGAAAGUUGAGAACUUUGCUUCUCUUCUAAACUCGAUCUCAAAUCAAGUAAGACUACCCGCUGAACUUAAGCA
rnacentral:rRNA from 1 species